rnacentral:tRNA from 1 species
CAGGGGGUAUUUUAUGUUUAAAAUAUUAGUUUUGGGGAUUAAUGAAAUGGUGUUUACCUUUCCUCUGA